GACAACCAGCCUUGCUCACGAAGCGUCAGCCGUAUCCUUUCUGUGUGCAGUGGGGUGUGGGUUGUGUGGAGCCGCGGUGUCUGUGGAAUUCACAGGCUGGGGCCGGAAUCCAUGGCCCCCGUCGCCGCUGCCACCCCCCAGGUGCUGGGGUGACCUGAUCCAGGGUUGGGGUCUAAGCUGCUGGGGGGUUGGAGUCUUGGGCUCUGGCCCACGUCCGCCUCUGAUUGGUUCUACCACCUGAGCCGGUCACUGACCCUCCAUGGGCCUCAGCUUACCCUAUGGUAAAGUGAGAACUAGGGGGUCAGACUCCUUGAUCACCAAGAUCUCUGACCACAGCCAAGGCUAAGGGAAGCGCAGGAAAACGUGGGGCUCGUCCAAAUUCCCAGCCUCUCUCUGCCCCCUGGUGGACGCCGGCAGCCUAGCACCCGGGGGGAGAUGACCCCGACACUGUGUGACCUCUGCCAAGGCACCCAUCCCUCUGAGCCCCAGUUCCCACCGGUUACAUAGGAAUGAUUAUAAUACCCACCUCUUUGGGCAAUUGUGAGGAGGCAAGGAGAUAAUACAUGCAAAGUGCUUGGAUGGGAUGGGUACUAGCCACUCAACAGAAGGCAGAUCCUAGAAUGGGGAUGGCAAGUCCUGUCAUCAGUGAAGAAUGUAAUGACUGCAAGCUUAGAUGACAUGUCUGUUACUGGAAACCAGAGUUGUUUACUUAAGCUGUAAAUGAACUCAUAGUCCCUGGGAUAAUUAUCUCACCUCUGGAUAAAUAAACUCAACAGCCUUAUGUAUUUUAUUAAUUUUUCUUAAAAAAAAGCUUAAAAUAUUUUUCCUUUGAUUUGUUCUCUUUCUUUGGUUUCUGACUUUAUUAUGUCCUUUCUUUCUGCUUAGGCAUUUGUUUUAUUGCUCUUUUUUCACCAACUCAAACUGAAUGGUCACCUUAACAGUUUUAUUGAGGUAUAAUUUACACACCAUAAAAUUCACCUGCUUUAAGGAUACUAUUCAAUGAUUUUUAGUACAGUUACAAAGUUAUGCAACCAUCAUCAAAACCCAAUUUUAGAAUAUUUCAAUCACCCAAAAAAGAAAUAUCACACCCAUUUACAGUUUAUCCCCUUUCCUGCCCCCAGCCUUAGGCAACCACUAAUCUACUUUAUAUAUAGAUUUGCCUUUCCUGGACAUUUCACAAAAAUUGAUUUACGCAAUGAAUGAGUAAAACCGUCUUCCAAAGGAAGAGGGCCUCCCAAGGCAGAUCCAUUAUUUAUUCUUCUCCAUCUUGUUCUGUGUUCCUGGAAGCCAACCUUUAUAAGCUGCAGGAAAUGGAUUUCCUACUCUCCACCUUCUGAUUGGGCUUGACCAACGGGGAGCACUGGCAGAAGACAAGCAUGGGAGGAAAAAGAGAUCAGGGCUGGAGUGCAGUGGCGUGAUCUCGGCUAGCUACAACCUCCACCUCCCAGCCGCCUGCCUUGGCCUCCCAAAGUGCCGAGAUUGCAGCCUCUGCCUGGCCGCCACCCCGUCUGGGAAGUGAGGAGCGCCUCUGCCCGGCCGUGACCCCGUCUGGGAACUGAGGAGUGUCUCUGCCCGACCGCCACCCCAUCUGGGAGGCCCAGCAUCCAAUUCAGUCGCCUUCAAGGAGUCUCUUCAGUCUAAUUUAUUCUAGAACAAUUCUUCAGGCUUCCCUUCUCUGGCCAAGAUUUUUGAAAAAUACAGGUCAAUGACUUUGUAGGUUGUCUUCAGUUUGGAUUUGUCUGCUGUGUCCUCAUGAUUUAUGCAUCUCUGGCAGGAAUACCACAGAAACGAUGCGACAUUCUUCUCAGUGUACCAUAUUAGGAGUCACACAAUGUCAACUUGUCCCAUUACUGCUGAUGUUAAUGUUUACCACUUGGCUAAGAUGAUGUCUGCCAGGUUUCUCCACUGGAAAGUUAACAGUAUUUAGUACGUGUUAAGUGAUGAGUAAUGAAUAAAUAUUUCAUAGGGA
rnacentral:lncRNA from 1 species